GUGGGUGUAGCUCAGUGGUAGAGCCCCGGAUUGUGACUCCGGUGGUCGUGGGUUCGAAACCCAUCAUCCACCCCA
rnacentral:tRNA from 1 species